UGUUCCUGUGAACCUGGCUGCUGGGCAGUGGAGUUCAAACCAGUGACCAGAGUGGGUCACAAUGGGGCAUUGUGAGACACCUCCUGGAGGACACUUAAGCUGGUGUAGGCAAUGCAGCGUCUACACUGCCACUGUUUGACCUAUGUCGACGUAAGCGCCACACCUCUCUUGGAGGUGGAGCUAUUCAGUCGACGAAGCAGACCUGUUCCCAGAUGCAUCCAAUUAUGUACAAAAAAGCUGUUUUGGAGCGGGGGAGAUUAGAUUUUAUUGUUGUGGAGGAAAGAUUGAAUGUGUGAUCUGAGUAUGGACUUAAAGGCUCAAAAUGAGGAAGCAAAUAAACACCUCAAAUUUA